UCAGUGUUGGUUCAUUGACCUAUAUUAUAC
rnacentral:piRNA from 1 species